rnacentral:rRNA from 1 species
CCUACGGGAGGCAGCAGUAGGGAAUCUUCCACAAUGGACGAAACUCUGAUCCAGCAACGCCGCGUGAGUGAAGAAGGAUUUCGGUACGUAAAGCUCUAUCAGCAGGGAAGAAAAAGACGGUAACUGACUAAGAAUCCCCUGCUAACAACUAACCAGCAGCCGCGGUAAUACGUAGGGGGCACACGUUAUCCGGAUUUAAUGGGUGGAAAGGGAGCGUAGACGGCAGCGCAAGUCUGGAGUGAAAUCCCAUGGCUUAACCAUGGACGUACUUUGGAAACUGUGCAGCUGGAGUGCAGGAGAGGUGAGUGGAAUUCCUUGUGUAGCGGUGAAAUGCGUAGAUAUAAGGAGGAACACCAGUGGCGAAGGCGGCUUUCUGGACUGUAACUGACGUUGAGGCUCGAAAGCGUGGGGAGCAAACAGGAUUAGAUACCCUAGUAGUC